rnacentral:rRNA from 1 species
AGAUUAGAUACCCUGGUAGUCCACGCCGUAAACGAUGCAUACUAGGUGUUGGCCUUUCGGGGCCAGUGCUGCAGUUAACGCAUUAAGUAUGCCACCUGGGGAGUACGUCGGCAACGAUGAAACUCAAAGGAAUUGACGGGGGCCCGCACAAGCGGUGGAGCAUGUGGCUUAAUUCGAUGCAACGCGAGGAACCUUACCUGGGCUAAAUCCACAGCGCUACCUCUGGAAACAGAGGGUUCCUUC